UGUGCUCUUCUGGUCUUUUGGGAGUUGCACUGUAUCCUGUAUGAAACUGAGACUAACCCAGGAGAAGAACUGCUGGGAUCACUCCUUGCUGUGUACCUUGGGAAGAUGGAGAAUGAUUGUUUCUGCGAGAGAGUCUGUUUGCGUGAAUGAGGACUGCAUGCAGCAGGAAAAGAUAAGGCAUGAAGGCCAUUGUUGUAGCCAGAUGGUCAAGGAAGGAGGAGUGAAGAGACUUGGAAACACCAGAAGACCAUCAAAAAACAUCCAUCGUUUGGCCCGCUAACCACAUUAGCGGCAUUGCAGAGCUCGGAGGUGAGGCAGGCACCCCCGAAGGCGAGAUAACAGAUAUCAGAUAACAAUGGGAAGCCCGACAAUAAUUGUCAAAUGAUAACGGCAGAAAACCCCAAGAUUAACAACAUUUAAGGACUAAGGGUUACAGGGAGACCUUGCAAAACGCAUGGACUCGAAUGGGAAUUUACAACUAUAAAGAUAGGGUGUUUUGCCAUGGAACUCUGGGUUCAGUCCUGCAAAGCCUCGGAGCAUUGCAUUGCGACCAACAGAGCCCAGCUCCUCACUCGUGCUCAAUCUAACUGGCCGUUUAGAUUGACUUGACUUGAGCUACAGACUGGUAACUAUAAAGACCAUUGGCAGCACUUGUGUGCAUGAUGGGAGACGGAGGGGGGGGGGUGGAAGUGGGGUGCUUGACUGAAAAGCAUAUGCUAACUGUUGUAAUUCCAAUAAAUGUGGUGUAUUUGCCUCUUUCCCCUGAAAAGAUCCCAUGCGCUUUGUAUAGCAUAACAAAGAGGUGUCUUCCCCCACUCUCCAGGUCAGUGGCUCAACCUUUUCAGACUACUGUACCCCUUUCAGGAGUCUGCCUUGUCUUGAAUACCUCCCAAGUUUCACUUCACUUAAACUAUUUGCUUACAAAAUCAGUGCUGGAUUCAUUCUGGCCCUUGACUGGAAUCUGCUCUCCCAGCUGCUCCAAGAAACUUCACUGAGCUGCUACAAGUGACUGUUUGUGCUGUUCUAAGAAAAGCCAUAGAGGACAGUGUACUCCAACCACACGUAGAUCUGCACCUGCAUGUGGUCAGUGGGCCCGGUGACUGAUCUCAGAGCAGGAUCCUUUGUCACCUGUGAUGAGUAGGGCAGAAAACCAUUCUGAUACGGUCAGUGCAACAUGCUGCUGCUGCUGCUGCUGCUGCUACUACUGGUGAAAAUGGGGGCACAGGGAGCUAUACGGAGUGGGUAAGGGUCAGGAAGAAAAGGCUUCAGUGUGUAGUGGGAAUGGGGAUGGAAGACUAUUAGUACCAGAUCUCAUGUUUAUGUCCCUUACACCCAUCCACACUGCCAGCUGACACGGGUAUAGAAGAAGGAGCUAAACUCAAUGCUAUUGCAUAGGAUAAGGCAAAAAGUGGCCUCCACACACACACUCUGCUCCUACCCCCUACACGUUGCUGCAACAAGCAUAAAGGUGUCUCGGCUGAGGGUCUGGCAUUUUUACUGAGUAACUGUCUUUGUAAAAAGCUGUCUUCAUGAGUGAUUUGCUUCAAUGCUCUUGGCUGUAAAAGCUGGGAACUCUACUUAGGGUGAAUCAAUUUUCACCUUCUUGUAUCCAAUUUCAGACAGAACUAUUGUUA